AAGAAGUGGUACAGUGUGUACUUCUUGAGAUCCAAAAACUGUUUGGCUUGUAUUAUGUAUUUUCUGAACUUUUCAUUUCAUUUAUUUCUUCUAAGGGAAAGACUGUUUCCAAUUGUUUCUCUGUGACUUUAUCUUUUCUGUACUGAUUGAAUUGAGGUCACUGAAAAUGCUUAAGGCAAAAUUUUGAAAGUAUAAUACAGAGAAAAAAAAAAAAUACAAUAGAAUGCUUCCUGGAAUGGCCUUUACUGUUUGAGAUUUUUUUUGGCAGUCAGUGCCAGUGAAAGCUCCUUGGACCAGCUGCAAGUUUUAGUGAGGAGCAAAAGGAAUCUUUGAAGGAAAAGCUAAUGUUGGUUGUAUGCUGUGGUUUAGCUCUGGCUGAAGAGGAGCAGAUCUCCACUCCAAUGAGUGAUUGAGGACUGUGAACACAGAAUGUGAAGGACAACCGCUCCAGCAGGAAUAUUUGAGAUGGCUGAAGCAGAAGUAAUCAAAUCUCAUUUGUCAAGGCUGGCUUAUUAUGUUAGCCAUCUGAAGAGAUCAUUUCUUUCUAAAGCUACAGAGGAAGAAAAUUUGCAACAAGGGCCUGAUUUUUGUGGAUUUCUGUAGCAUUACCAAGAAAUUCCCAUUUACUCUGGGAGCGGCAAGGCUGUAUUUGAAAUCUUCUGAUCGAAAAAAAAAAGUUAACCCAGCUGUAUUCACAGUAUGUCACUGAUGCAGAUGAGAUUCCACUCUGUAUUUUGUUUGAAGCCAUCUGACAGGAUGAAGGAAUCCAGAGACAGAACUCAUCAAAAUGGAGGCAAGAGAGCAAUACCUUUGGAGCUGGAUUCUUUGAGGCAGAUUGAAUAAAUGCUCCGAAGUGAGCUAGAAACCGAAGGGAAUGUAUCCCUUUCUAAACUUUUUCAAAUUGCAUCACAGUGAUGCUUCCAGGCAGUCAUUCCUGUUUCUCCCCCUAUCAAAGAAUCUGUGGGACUGCAAACUGAGCUAGACUGCAUAAAUGAUUGUCACUGAAGAUGAGCAAAAGAAGAUGAACAGCAUUUUUAAUUUUUUCCUUGACAUCUGGAUUUUUGCUGGGUUCCAUCUUGCAUCAUGGACCAAUGAAAAGUUCCAACAUUACAGAGAAGUCCAAUGACACAACAUAGCCAAGAGAACAGAAAUAAAGAAAAGAUGGAGAACUCUACAGGC
rnacentral:lncRNA from 1 species